UCUAACCCUGUCUCAGUGUUUAAAAAUGCUAAUUGGUGUGUUUAUCCUUGCUUUUCUAGUGAUAUGCAGCUUUCGAGGAUCUGUCCCUCAAGGGUUGGUCUUAGAAAUAGGAGAAACAGUCCAGAUUCUUGAAAAAUGUGAAGGUUGGUACAGAGGAGUUUCAACAAAGAAGCCAAAUGUGAAGGGGAUCUUUCCUGCAAAUUACAUUCACUUGAAAAAGGCAAUUGUCAGUAAUAGGGGGUGAGUAGUUGGCCUUACUAAAUUUAUUUACAAUUUUAUAGGCUGUAGAGGAGGAUUGUU
rnacentral:lncRNA from 1 species